AUUAUUGAUGAACAAUCCUAUUAGUUGACGUAGAUCUCAUGGGAUCUAAAUGGAGAUCCAGUUGGUCGGAGUCUAUUAUAUAUAGAUAUAGGAUUUGAUUGGGAGCUGAUGUUUGUCUUCAUCACCCGUAAUGGAGCUGUUCAUGCUUUCAAGCUCGAUAGAUAGCGAGAUAUGGAGUCGAAAGCAUUGAGAGUUCAGGAGGCCGAGCAUUGUUUGCUGGCCGGCCAAUGUCUCCCUCAGCCCUCAGGUGUGGCAAAAGCAUCGGGC
rnacentral:lncRNA from 1 species